AUACGGAGGGAGCAAGCGUUAUUCGGAAUCACUGGGCGUAAAGGACGCGUAGGCGGGUUUGUAAGUCAGGUGUGAAAUCCUACAGCUCUACUGUAGAACUGCACUUGAAACUACAGACCUAGAGUAUGGAAGGGGCAGAUGGAAUUAGUGGUGUAGGGGUAAAAUCCGUAGAUAUCACUAGGAAUACCGAAAGCGAAGGCGAUCUGCUGGGACAUUACUGACGCUGAGGCGUGAAAGCGUGGGGAGCAAACAGGAUUAGAUACCCCGGUAGUCC
rnacentral:rRNA from 1 species